rnacentral:rRNA from 1 species
UACGUAGGGUGCGAGCGUUGUCCGGAAUUAUUGGGCGUAAAGAGCUCGUAGGCGGUUUGUCGCGUCUGCUGUGAAAACCUAAGGCUCAACCUUGGGCUUGCAGUGGGUACGGGCAGACUAGAGUGCGGUAGGGGUGACUGGAAUUCCUGGUGUAGCGGUGAAAUGCGCAGAUAUCAGGAGGAACACCGGUGGCGAAGGCGGGUCUCUGGGCCGAUACUGACGCUGAGGAGCGAAAGCGUGGGGAGCGAACAGG